GAAAUGCGAUAAGUAAUGUGAAUUGCAGAAUUCCGUGAAUCAUCGAAUCUUUGAACGCACAUUGCGCCCCCUGGUAUUCCGGAGGGCAUGCCUGUCCGAGCGUCAUUGCAAACCCUCAAGCCCCCGGCUUGUGUUGGGGACCUGCGGCUGCCCGCAGGCCCUGAAAAACAGUGGCGGGCUCGCUGUCACACCGAGCGUAGUAGCAUACAUUCUCGCUCAGGGCGUGCUGCGGGUUCCGGCCGUUAAACGACCUUCAUAACCCAAGGUUGACCUCGGAUCAGGUAGGAAGACCCGCUGAACUUAAGC
rnacentral:misc_RNA from 1 species